AUGGAGCCGACCUUGAAAUACCACCCUUUAAUGUUUGAUGUUCUAACGUUGACCCGUGAUCCGGGUUGCGGACAGUGUCUGGUGGGUAGUUUGACUGGGGCGGUCUCCUCCUAAAGAGUAACGGAGGAGCACGAAGGUUGGCUAAUCCUGGUCGGACAUCAGGAGGUUAGUGCAAUGGCAUAAGCCAGCUUGACUGCGAGCGUGACGGCGCGAGCAGGUGCGAAAGCAGGUCAUAGUGAUCCGGUGGUUCUGAAUGGAAGGGCCAUCGCUCAACGGAUAAAAGGUACUCCGGGGAUAACAGGCUGAUACCGCCCAAGAGUUCAUAUCGACGGCGGUGUUUGGCACCUCGAUGUCGGCUCAUCACAUCCUGGGGCUGAAGUAGGUCCCAAGGGU
rnacentral:rRNA from 1 species